rnacentral:rRNA from 1 species
UACAGAGACUGCAAGCGUUAUUCGGAUUCACUGGGCGUAAAGGGUGCGCAGGCGGCCAAGUGUGUUAGGCGUGAAAGCCCCGGGCUCAACCUGGGAAUUGCAUUCGAGACUGUGUAGCUAGGGUACGGAAGAGGGAAGCGGAAUUUCAGGUGUAGCGGUGAAAUGCGUAGAUAUCUGAAGGAACACCAGUGGCGAAAGCGGCUUCCUGGUCCAGUACCGACGUUCAGGCACGAAAGCGUGGGGAGCAAACAGG